UGUCACUAAAGCUCUUUGAGGUCAGAGACCACACGUCCCACUUCCAAUUCCCCACAGCAUGCAGCAAAGACCAGAACUUCUAAAGUGUGAUAUGCACACUUUGGGGCUCCAGCUGAGCAAGCCCAACUGCCUUCUGGACAUCUCUACUUGGAUACCUCACUGUCACUCAGCAUAUAAUGUCUGGACCCUGCGAGUGCUACUUUUGGAUGAUAAGAGCUGAAUCUGAUGGGUUCAGAGGAUUUCCAAAAACAUUCUUUAACCAACUCAGAUAAUGGAAUUAGUGACUGGCUGUUGGAAGAAACCUUGCCUACAUUCUCCAGACAGUCAGAACCCAGAACAAAGAUCUGACCAAA